rnacentral:rRNA from 1 species
UACGGAGGGUGCGAGCGUUGUCCGGAAUCACUGGGCGUAAAGCGUGCGCAGGCGGUUGGCAAAGUCAGCUGUGAAAGCCCCGGGCUUAACCUGGGAAUGGCGGUUGAAACUAGUCGACUCGAAUCUGGCAGAGGGGGGUGGAAUUCCACGUGUAGCAGUGAAAUGCGUAGAGAUGCGGAGGAACACCGAUGGCGAAGGCAGCCCCCUGGGCUGACACUGACGCUCAGGCACGAAAGCGUGGGGAGCAAACAGG